AUUGAACGCUGGCGGCAGGCCUAACACAUGCAAGUCGAGCGAGCGGCGGACGGGUGAGCAAUUUCUGGGAAACUGCCUGAUGGAGGGGGAUAACUACUGGAAACGGUAGCUAAUACCGCAUACCAUCAGAUGUGCCCAGAUGGGGUUAGCUUGUAGGUGGGGCAAAGGCUCACCAAGGCGACGCUCCCUAGCUGGUCUGAGAGGCUGACCAGCCACACUGGGACUGAACGACGGUCCAGACGCCUACGGGAGGCAGCAGAGGGAGAGAUGGCACAAUGGGCGCAAGCCUGAUGCAGCCAUGCCGGGUGUGUGAAGAAGGCCUUCGGGUUGUAAGGCACGUUCAGCGGGGAGGCGUUACCCGCAGAAGAAGCACCGGCUAACUCCGUGCCAGCAGCCGCGGUAAUAC
rnacentral:rRNA from 1 species